rnacentral:rRNA from 1 species
CAGCAGCCGCGGGAAUACGAAGGGUGCAAGCGUUAAUCGGAAUUACUGGGCGUAAAGCGUGCGUAGGCGGUUUGUUAAGUCUGUUGUGAAAUCCCCGGGCUCAACCUGGGAAUGGCAAUGGAUACUGGCAAGCUAGAGUGUGUCAGAGGAUGGUGGAAUUCCCGGUGUAGCGGUGAAAUGCGUAGAGAUCGGGAGGAACAUCAGUGGCGAAGGCGGCCAUCUGGGACAACACUGACGCUGAGGCACGAAAGCGUGGGGAGCAAACAGGAUUAGAUACCCGUGUAGUCCCUGUCUCUUAUAC